rnacentral:rRNA from 1 species
GACGAACGCUGGCGGCGUGCUUAACACAUGCAAGUCGAACGGAAAGGCCCCUUUGGGGGUACUCGAGUGGCGAACGGGUGAGUAACACGUGAGUAACCUUCCCUUGACUUCGGGAUAACUUCAGGAAACUGGGGCUAAUACCGGAUAGGAAUCCUUGCUGCAUGGUGGGGGUUGGAAAGCUUCGGCGGUUUUGGAUGGACUCGCGGCUUAUCAGCUUGUUGGUGGGGUAGUGGCUUACCAAGGCUUUGACGGGUAGCCGGCCUGAGAGGGCGACCGGCCACCUUGGGACUGAGAUACGGCCCAGACUCCGAAGGGAGGCAGCAGUGGGGAAUCUUGCACAAUGGGCGGAAGCCUGAUGCAGCAACGCCGCGUGCGGGAUGACGGCCUUCGGGUUGUAAACCGCUUUCAGCAGGGGCGAAGCUUGUGGUGACGGUACCUGCAGAAGAAGCACCGGCUAACUACGUG